UAUUAAACAUCCAACAGCCAAUCAGAGGAGAAUUAAACUUCAGCCAAUCAGAGGCAGACCCUGCCUGAAAACAGGAAGUAGAAAAACUCAACAGGUCUAGAUUAUUUCUGAGCUUCCAAGUGGAACCGGAUCGGUUCAGGAACCGGACCAGAACCCGGCUGCUUCCUCUGGGAACUGUAAACAGUAAAGCUGCUGGUUUCCAGUAAAGCUGCUGGUUUCCAGUAUUUAGAGAUGAAACAUGUUUCCAGACCUACCAUGUCCAGAGGUUUGAAGACGUGGUGCACCAGCUCCUCAGACGACGGACUGGCGAUGGUGGAUUUCAGCCGAGCCUGGAGGGAAAACCACAGCCGGUCGUUACAUCUGGAGGCUCGGCAGCCGAUAAACGAUCAUCUGGAGGCCAGUGAACAAACCAGUUAUUCCCUCUGUGAGGGGAAGCUUUUAAUAUGAAAAGAAUCAGGCGGCGUUUACCUUCAGCCGUCUGCUUCUUGCUUUUCUUCUUCUUCUUCU